AACGGUAUCCGAUGUUGACUGACAGAUCGCUCGGUAAGAACGAACUUUAUACGGUGAAACGACCGUGAAACAACCGUCAUUCGACCGUGCUUUCACCGUGUCGCCGAAACCGCCAGGAUAUCAGAAUUUUC